AGGUGCUUAGCUCAGCGGGUCGGAGCAAUGUAUUUACACUACAAAGGUCAGAAGUUCAAAUCUUCUAGCACCCG
rnacentral:tRNA from 1 species